AAUUUUUUAAAAAAGAAAGAAAGAAACAGAUAUAGUCUCAUAAACAGGAAUGACACCAAAGAUGCAUUUGCACAACAGGCUGCCAUAAAGAACAAUCACCCGGGAAGUACCUCUGCUGGGUCGGACACAGAGAGUUCGCCGUCGCUGAAGGAGAAAAUGGCGGAGGCAGCAAAGAUCAGAGGCCCCAGUGAAGGUGGUAAACACGGAGCAGACGGGAACCAUUGCAGACGCCAUCCAUGUCGUAGGGGUCCUCCAAGCAGUCACCAGCAGAAUCACCAGAACAGGGCCCUCCUUGCCAAAGACGGCCUAGAGAGGACGGCAACGAAGAGGAUAAAGGAAAUCAAGGAGAUGAGACCCAAGGUCAGCAGCCAGCUCAACAUGGGUACCAGCCCAACUUCAAUGAUUACGGACCCUGAGGCCCAGAGAACGCUGAAGCGCAAGAUGGCAAGGAGACAAAGGAUCCACUGGCUGAGGAUUCAACUGUUUCCUAGGCUGAGCAGGGCGGGCCUGAGUAAAUGCUGGCUAACAUCUCUACCAUCAUCCAGUUUAGUCAUCCAGCAAGAAGAAACCAAUAUGAAAUUCCAGCAAUAAGAAAUGAACAAAAGACUGGGUACUGAAGAUCUUAAGUGCUUGCUUUUUGCCCACUGUCCAGAUAACCGGAACUAUCUACAUUAUCUAUGCAGCAUGGGCUUUUUAUUAUUUUGGCCUAAAGAGGUCUCUUUUUGGUAAUGACAAACAUGUUGUUUUUUUUUUUAAAUGUCUGGUUUUUCUUAAUACACCUUUAAAGGUUUUUAAAUAGAUUCAUAUUUGGUCAAGUUGAGAUUUUUAAGUACUUCAUUUUUAAUUUGUAAUACAACUUUACAACUUGAUUUUUUUUUUUUUCGAAAAAGUCAACAAACUGCAAGCACCUGUUAGUAAAGGUCUUAAAUAAUUGUCAAAAAAAAUAGA
rnacentral:lncRNA from 1 species